GCACUGAAUGGAUUAAAUAUUCUUUAUUUAAUUAUUAUUUUAUUUUAAAUACUUUUAAGUCCAUCUUAUAGAAAAUUUUAAAUGUUCUAAUUGAAAAAAAUUUUUAUUGUAACUCGCCUUACUUCUUAUUUAUUUGCUGCACUUUGAUUUGUAUUGAGUUUUAAAAUAAAAUUUCAAAUUCACCUUGGGGUAAAUUCACGACAACGGUAUACAAGCUUUGUUAAAUAAGUAUAAUGUUCUUGGUGGUUAUCAAUUAUAUGGUAAGUUCCCCUAAAAUACUACAUUCAGCCGCCAUAAUAUUUAAGUUUAGGCUUAAUAAUAAGCAUUAAUUCUUGUUUAAAUAUGUGAAUCUCUCUAUAAUUGGGUAUCUAAUCCAGGUUUAACUAAAAGAGGUUGAUAAAUAUAAAUACAGUCAGACUAUUAAAUUAAUAGUAUUUCACUACAUAUUAAAAUUUUGUGUAUAUUAAUUAUAAAACAACUACUAUAAAUUUGCCUAAUAGGUAUGACCGCGGUUGCUGGCACCUAAUAAACCUAGGUUAUAUAAUUAUCUAAAUUAAAAUUUCUUUAAUUGUUUAAAAUUUUUAACUGGAGUAAGUGUUUUCAUUCCAUAUUAAGUUAGAUUAUUAACUUAUAGAUCCAUCAUAUUAAAGUGUUAUCUAAGGGGGUUGAUUACCAUUUUAGA
rnacentral:rRNA from 1 species